GACGAACGCUGGCGGCGUGCUUAACACAUGCAAGUCGAACGGAAAGGCCCUGCUUUUGUGGGGUGCUCGAGUGGCGAACGGGUGAGUAACGCGUGAGUAACCUGCCCUUGACUUUGGGAUAACUUCAGGAAACUGGGGCUAAUACCGGAUAGGAGCUCCUGCUGCAUGGUGUGGGUUGGAAAGUUUCGGCGGUUGGGGAUGGACUCGCGGCUUAUCAGCUUGUUGGUGGGGUAGUUGCUUACCAAGGCUUUGACGGGUCGCCGGCCUGAGAGGGUGACCGGCCACAUUGGGACUGAGAUACGGGCAAGACUGCUACGGGAGGCAGCGGUGGGGAACAUUGCACAAUGGGCGGAAGCCUGAUGCAGGAACGCCGCGUGCGGGAUGACGGCCUUAGGGUUGUAAACCGCUUUCGCCUGUGACGAAGCGUGAGUGACGGUAAUGGGUAAAGAAGCACCGGCUAACUACGUG
rnacentral:rRNA from 1 species